GAGAUAACCCCGGGAAACUAGGGUAAUAUGAGAUAGAUAAAAGAUACUGGAAUGUUCUUUAUCCAAAGCUUUGCGCUGAGGAUGGGCUGCGCCGAUUAGGUUGUUGGUGGGGUAAUGGCCCACCAAGCCUACGAUCGGUACGGGCAGUGGGAGCUGAAGCCCGGAGUUGGGGACUGAGACAAGGCCCCAGGCCUACGGGGCGCAGCAGGCGCGAAACCUCUGCAAUGCGGGAAACCGUGACAGGGGGAUUCCAAGUGCUCAUGCAUUGCAUGGGCUGUUCUUUGGUCUAAGUAACCAGAGGAGUAAGGGCUGGGCAAGACCGGUGCCAGCCGCCGCGGUAAUACCGGCAGCUCAAGUGGUAGCCGCGAUUAUUGGGCCUAAAACGUUCGUAGCCGGAUAAGUAAGUCUUUGGUUAAAUCCUGCGACUUAACCGUGGGAAAUCUAGAGAUACUGCUUGUCUUGAGACCGGGAGAGGUUGGAGGUACUCCCAGGGUAGGGGUGAAAUCCUGUAAUCCUGGGGGGACCACCUGUGGCGAAGGCGUCCAACUGGAACGGGUCUGACGGUGAGGGACGAAACCUAGGGGAGCGAGCCGGAUUAGAUACCCGGGUAGUCCUAGGCGUAAAUGAUGCGAGUUAAGUGUGGGGGCAUCCACGAGAUGGCCCUGUGCUGUAGGGUAGCCGUUAAACUCGCUGCCUGGGGAGUACGGUCGCAAGGCUGAAACUUAAAGGAAUUGGCGGGGGAGCACCACAAGAGGUGGAGGCUGCGGUUCAAUUGGAUUCAACGCCGGA
rnacentral:rRNA from 1 species